AUGCAAAAGGAAUUUUGUUUGUCGAUGCUUGAUGAGGCAACAACAGCAACUGCGAGGCCCAAGUUCAAGAUUAUGCAUAAUGUUGUCCAUAUUUACGAGAAGUGGUUUAACAUGACAAAGAAGAAUAUAACAUAUUAUCUGCUGGAUGGGGAGGAAGAGCCUAUGAGGCCUAUACAUGGCAACUGUAUUGGCAAAGUGAUGUUCGUAAUGGCCGUUGCUAGGCCAAGGUGGGACAGUGAAGGAAACGUGACCUUCUCUGGGAAAAUUGAUAUCUGGCCAUUCGUGAAAGAAGUUCCUGCUCAGAGGAGAAGCGACAACAGGCCCAGAGGUACAAUAGAGACAAAGUCAAUAAAGGCCGACAUGAAAGUGAUGAGGGAGUUCCUGAUAGAGAAGGUCUUACUAGCGAUACAAGCUGUUUGGCCGGAAAGUGAUGCUGGACAGACCAUCUACAUUCAGCAGGAUAAUGCUAAGCCCCAUAUCUUGCCAGAUGGCCCCGAAUUUCUAGCAGUUGUCGCAAAAACUGGACUUGACAUUAGAAUAAUACAACAACCCGCCAACAUUCCUGAUUUGAAUGUGCUUGACCUUGGGGUUUUCAACUCGCUGCAAUCCUUGACAGACUGUCUGAGUCCUAAAACACUACAAGUUCUUAUUGCAGGUGUUUUGGAGGAAUUUGAAGGCUAUGAGGUUUAG
rnacentral:rRNA from 1 species